rnacentral:pre_miRNA from 1 species
UCUUAUAGAUGAGCAACAAAAGUGGUUUCUUGAGAAGGGAUCUACUCCUGGUGAAGAUGCUCUGAA